GACGAACGCUGGCGGCGUGCUUAACACAUGCAAGUCGAACGAAAAGGCCCGGCUCUUGUGGGUUUCUCGUGUGGCGAACGGGUGAGUAACACGUGAGUAACCUCUCCUUGUCUGUCUGAUAUCUUCAGGAAACUGGGGCUAAUAUCGGAGAUGAUCUCCUGCAGCACGUGGUUGGAUGGAGAGAGUCGGCGGUUGUGGAUGUAAUCGCGGCUUAUCAGCUUGUUGGGGUGGUAGUGGCGUACCAAGGCUUUGACGGGUAGCCGGCCUGAGAGGGUGACCGGCCACAUUGGGACUGAGAUACGGACCAGACUCCUACGGGAGGCAGCAGUGGGGAAUCUUGCACAAUGGGCGGAAGCCUGAUGCAGCAACGCCGCGUGCGGGAUGCCGGCCUUCGGGUUGUAAACCGCUUUCGCCUGUGACGAAGCGUGAGUGACGGUAAUGGGUCAAGAAGCACCGGCUAACUACGUG
rnacentral:rRNA from 1 species